GUGCCAGCAGCCGCGGUAAUACGAGGGGUCCUAGCGUUGUUCGGAAUCAUUGGGCGUAAAGAGUCUGUAGGCGGCUCUGUAAGUCAGGUGUGAAAGCCCCGGGCUCAACCCGGGAAGUGCAUCUGAUACUGCUUAGCUUGAAUGUUGGAGAGGAUAGUAGAAUUCCAGGUGUAGUGGUGAAAUACGUAGAUAUCUGGAGGAAUACCGGUGGCGAAGGCGGCUAUCUGGCCAAACAUUGACGCUGAGAGACGAAAGCGUGGGUAGCAAACAGGAUUAGAUACCCUGGUAGUCC
rnacentral:rRNA from 1 species